GCUUGGAUUUUAGAAGCCUUGAAAAAAAUUAGAACAACGGAGAAAAUUAGCAAGGCCUCUGCAUAAAGAUGCACACAAAUCAGUGAAGCAUUUCAUAUUAAA